AGAACGAACGCUGGCGGCAUGCCUAACACAUGCAAGUCGAACGCUUCCGGGGCUUCGGUCGCGGAGGAGUGGCGCACGGGUGAGUAGCGCGUGGGAACCUGCCCUGUUGUGGGGGAUAACCGAGGGAAACUUCGGCUAAUACCGCAUACGCCCCGGGACUUGGUCUUCGGAUUAGGUCUGGGGGGAAAGAUUGAUCGCAGCAGGAGGGGCCCGCGUCGGAUUAGCUGGUUGGUGGGGUAACGGCUCACCAAGGCGAUGAUCCGUAGCUGGUCUGAGAGGAUGAUCAGCCACACUGGGACUGAGACACGGCCCAGACUCCUACGGGAGGCAGCAGUGGGGAAUAUUGGACAAUGGGGGCAACCCUGAUCCAGCAAUGCCGCGUGAGUGAUGAAGGCCUUAGGGUUGUAAAGCUCUUUCGCCCGCGACGAUGAUGACGGUAGCGGGAGAAGAAGCCCGGCUAACUCGCGCCAGCAGCCGCGGU
rnacentral:rRNA from 1 species